GACGAACGCUGGCGGCGUGCUUAACACAUGCAAGUCGAACGGAAAGGCCCUGCUUUUGUGGGGUGCUCGAGUGGCGAACGGGUGAGUAACACGUGAGUAACCUGCCCUUGACUUUGGGAUAACUUCAGGAAACUGGGGCUAAUACCGGAUAGGAGCUCCUGCUGCAUGGUGGGGGUUGGAAAGUUUCGGCGGUUGGGGAUGGACUCGCGGCUUAUCAGCUUGUUGGUGGGGUAGUGGCUUACCAAGGCUUUGACGGGUAGCCGGCCUGAGAGGGUGACCGGCCUCAUUGGGACUGAGAUACGGCCCAGACUCCUACGGGAGGCAGCAGUGGGGAAUAUUGCACAAUGGGCGGAAGCCUGAUGAAGCAACGCCGCGUGCGGGAUGACGGCCUUCGGGUUGUAAACCGCUUUCGCCUGUGACGAAGCGUGAGUGACGGUAAUGGGUAAAGAAGCACCGGCUAACUACGUG
rnacentral:rRNA from 1 species